rnacentral:lncRNA from 10 species
AUUUUCUCAAGAAGGGAGGCCAGACAGGAAGCAUGGCAAAAGCUUCUUCUGCUUGGCUUCUGGGGAGGCCUCAGGGAGCUUUUACUCAUGGCGGAAGGUGAAGCAGAAGUUUGCAUGUCACAUGAUGAGAUCAGUAGCAAGAGACAGAUGUUGGCGGUGGCAGGUGCCACACACUUUUAAACAACCAGAUCUCUUUAGAACUCAAGAUCGUGAGGACAACACCAAGACAUGAGGGAUCACCUCCAUGACCCAAACACCUACCACCAGGCCCCACCUCCAACACUGGGUAAAUUUCAACGUGAGAUUGGAGGGGACAAAUAUCCAAACGAUAUCAGUGAUGGUGUUGAUCAUGAUGAAACUCAAA